UUUCCGAAUUCACUGUUGAGUUGUCAUGGAGUAGUACUGUAUGGAAUAUAAUAAUUAUUGUACUUCCUAUGGCAGCUUACUAAUGAAUUCAAAUU